UAGGGAAUAUUGGUAAUGGGCGAAAGCCUGAACCAGCAACGCCGCGUGUGCGAUGAAGGCCUUCGGGUUGUAAAGCACCUUUGACCGGGACGAGGAAGGACGGUACCGGUGGAAUAAGCCUCGGCUAACUACGUGCCAGCAGCCGCGGUAAAACGUAGGAGGCGAGCGUUAUCCGGAUCUACUGGGUGUAAAGCGCGUGCAGGCGGUUAGCUAAGUUGGGUGUGAAAGCUCCUGGCUCAACUGGGAGAGGUCGCUCAAGACUGGCUGACUCGAGGAUGGUAGGGGGAGGUGGAAUUCCGGGUGUAGUGGUGAAAUGCGUAGAUAUCCGGAGGAACACCAGUGGCGAAGGCGGCCUUCUGGACCAUCACUGACGCUCAGACGCGAAAGCUAGGGUAGCAAACGG
rnacentral:rRNA from 1 species